UUAUCAAAAUGAAUAACGGGCUUUAAUUUUACGAAGAAGGAACAGUUUCAAUUCGCCCAAAAUUAUAUUAAUAAAAGAGAAAAGAAAAGCACCGAUUCGAUCUCGUUUUCAGUUCUUACAUUUGCCUUUGUCUAUGAUUUAUUUGUUUAUUUUCCAGAUUUGUUGUUCAUCCUACGUUCAAUUCCACCGUCUCCAGGAAAAUCUAGUGGAUGUUUUAAUUAACUGAAGAUUGUGUGAUUCAAUCGAAUUCUACUGUGAAACGAUGAUGGAAGAAUUAACAAGCAGAUCAGAGAUACGAAAGGAGUUAGAGAGGGAACGUCGUCGUAUAAGGGAUAGGCAAAGAAGGCAAUCAAUGAGCCUUGAGGAAAAAGAAAAGCAUUUAGCCAGACGUCGAAGGAACUAUCAAUUGCGAAGACAAAGAGCCGAAAUGGCUCGAUUAAACCCUCCUAUAUCACCAAUUCAAUUACCUUUAAGUAAUGCUUUAACUUGUGUUUCGGUUUCGGAUGUUAGUCCUCGGUGUAAUGCUGAUGUUGCUGUUGCUGCUGAUGCUUUUCUAAGAACGGAUCACGGACAACAACAAAGACUGAUUCUCGAUACAGGAAACUCCCACAGUUUGGAUGUCCCUGCUCAUAAGUUAGCUAUUUUACCUGGAAAGGUACGUUUGAAUCGCAUAAAACAUCUGGCUCGAGCAAUAAAUGAUCCUGUUGGUGAUGGGGUUUCAAUUGGUGGGCUGAUGAAGGAAAAUGGAACUUCCAAUUGUUUAAGUUCAAAAGGAUUGCGAUUGAAUCGUAUUAAACGACUUGCUCGAACAACAAAUCCUGCUGUGCAAGAGAUUCUUAGUCAAAGCCAUCAAAGCAUAACAGAAGGGUGAACAUCUCUGGUCUGGUGUAACUAUUGAUGAACAUACAAAUCAGUCAUACACAACCCUAUUUUGGCUCCUCCCCAGAUUCUUUCAAUAUAAAAUUUAUGACGAUUAUACGGGAUUCGGCAACACCGGCAUUGAUCUAAACCCUUUUUUUUGGGCAUUUUGUAUGCUAUGACUGCAGGAUGUGGAGAAAAAGGAUGAUAGCAAAGGAAGAUGAUAUUGACAACUUGCUGUACAUAAUAAGGUCAGGGUAGUUUAGAAUAGAAUUUUGUGGUGAUGAAAAGAGCCCUAUGCUAGGACUUGAUUUUUUUAACAUGUGAAGGGGAGGGGUUUUUAACAAAUAUUUAUGAUAUGAUAUGAUAUGAUUUGGUCCCUCCCCACCAAAAUUUUUAGUGACUUUUUUCAUUCAUUUGGAUCAAUCUUCAGUGCAAUGACCUCUCUUGUUUUACCAUCACUUGGAUCAAUCUAUCCUACAAGUUUUGGUUUCUCA